GAUGAGGUAGCUCAGUGGUAGAGUCCCCGCUUCGCACGCGGGUGAGACCUGGGUUCGAUUCCCGGCUGCUUCC
rfam:Toxocara canis scaffold210, whole genome shotgun sequence.